CCUGUGGCUCAGAUGGCAUGACACCCAGCCUCCAUAAGAGAGGUCUUGGGUUCGAUCCCCCUCUCCAAUCCCCAAUAUCAAAAAAAAAAAAAAAAAAAAAAAAAAAAAAAACCCUAAAUCUUAAGAGCAGCCACUAUUUGGCAGCAUCCGAAACACACCUUACGUGGCCUAUAGUGAAUUUCCGUUCCUUCUCCGUAUCAUUCUGCACAUUCUCUCUCACAAAUUUCCCUCAUUUGAAAUUCGACUACAUUCUCUCCCUCCUCCCCCACCCCCUCCCGCGUCGCCCAUCCUUCCCCCACCCCCAUCCCCCUGUCUCCCAUCCUCCCCCCCUCUACAUGCAAACUCGACCUAUAUAAUUCUCACAUACAAGAUUGGGGUUUUGUGUCUCCGUGUUCAUUCAGUAGCCGUCGUCGCUUACUCUUGCUCGCUUCCCCACUAAGCUCAUCCCCUCUCCUAAUAUGGUCGUCGGAAAGAAUAAGAGGAUUUCCAAGGGAAAGAAGGGGGCCGAUCCGUUUGCGAAGAAGGAUUGGUACGAUAUCAAGGCACCUUCAGUGUUCACAGUAAAAAAUGUGGGCAAAACCCUUGUUACUCGCAAUUAGGGUACCAAGGUAUCUUUAUUAGUCAUUUAAUUUCUCCAUUCGUUUUGUGCUAUUUGGUUAGCGAGAAAAUAUUGGAUCAGAAGUUGAGUUAAAAUUUUGGCCUGGAUUUUUAAGUUCUCCACUUUAUAGCGUAGGCUACAUAUGCUAAAGAUGCAAUAUUUCAGUUUUUUAUUUUUUUUGCUAUGGCUUGUCCAAUCAAUUUAUGUGCGUUUUUUAGCUUAAUAGUUGCCAAAUGGGGUUGAUGGUUAAGCAACCCUUUUUCAUUGAUAUAUGACUUAAUGUGAUUGAAUGGUGCUAUAUUCUAUUUUAGUGAGUUGUUCGCUUUCUUAUCAAAGUUUCUGGAACAUAUUGUUUGGUUAUGGAGAAAACCGGGUUUCUAAUUCUAUUUGUUGUCCCGUUGCCAAUUUUAUUUUUUCUCAAUGGAGGCGUUUCAUUUCUUUGCUUCUAGAAUGAUACUUUAAUAUUGACUUCAUAAGACAACUUUAUCUGUAUUUUUAACAACCUAGGGUCCUCAUAGUUUAUAUUAAGUAGUUUUGGACGUGCAAUUCUCAUGUGAGUCCUUGUACUGAGUUAUAUUUUAAGUAGGGUAACACCUAGAUUUUUUCUUUAGCUAUUUAAAUCUAAAUUAAGGUUUCAAGUUUUUAUGUGCCUUCCUCUGUCCUUUUAGAAAUUAUAAUACCUCCUUUUUUGUUUAUUAAGUAAGAAAUUAUGAUAUUUUUAAAACUAAGGAAGUAUUGAUAUUACACGGUGAGAAUGUUUGAGCAUGUCUUGCUUUUAUUUUAUUUUAAGAAAAUUGUUUUCAUUUCCACUUCUAUUUUUUUUAAUCACCUUGUAUAUUGCUGUUCUUUUUACGCCGUAGAACAUAAAAGUUUUCAAUUUAUGACUUUGAUUCUGGUUGUGGCAUCCUUGCCUUUAUGUGCUUUUCCUCCCUAAUUGUGAAUUUGGUAUGAUUCUUUUGUUAUCUUUACCCUGUUUGUUGAUGAUGAGUGUAAUUUUUAUCUUCUACAACCAUUAAGUUUUUAACUUGCUUAGAAUUUGCCAUUUGCCAGUUGCCAAUAUAUGUUAUCUGUGUACCUACUGAUGCCUCCAUUGUCUCUUUCAGAGAUUGCCUCUAAAGGGCUCAAACAUAAUCUUUGAGGUAUUAAUGGCUGAUCUUCAGGAAGAUGAAGAUCAUGCAUACAGAAAGAUUAGAUUGAGAUUUGAAGGAGUUGGCUGAUCUUCCAUAUAGAACUCAAGGACUGUCAGUCAAGAUGGCUAUUGGGUCCCCUUCCCCCCGAGGAUUUCUUCUCUCUUAAAAUGUCAUAUAUUUUACAUUCAAAAACUAUCAGAAUGCCUAAUACUUUGAGCUAAUUCAAGAUGGAACAUUUGGUUACUUAAAAAAAAAACUUGGGUUAGGGUUAGCUUUUUAGCGUUUGUUAGAUGGGUGUUGCAGCUUAGGGCAUGGAGGAAAAAUAAUGUUCUUUAAACCUGAGUUCAGAGGCAUACAUAUGUUUCUAUAUAGAUUUGUUUCAUUAAUACAUAUGAUCUAUAUUAUGUUAUAGUAAGGAAGUCAUGAGGUAAUGAUGUUUAUUCAUUCAGUAUCCGGGAUAUUUGCCCAUCAUUAAAUUCAGAAACAAAUAUUUGCCAGUGACUAUCAAUGGCAAAGUGCAUGUGCAUGGGGGAUAAAGCAGGGGAAAUUGGUUUUAAAUUAUUUCAUGAACAUCUAGAAGCUUUGUAAAUUAGAUCUCAUUUAGCUUGAGUACGUGGCAGUUGGUGCCCCACAAUACUCCCCAAUCAAUUAUUAUUAUUAUUAUUAUUUUUUUUUUUUUUUCUGCUGGGAGCUAAUAUUAUCAUUAUCCAUUUAUUUUUAAACAUCAUUAUAUAUAUAUAUAGAUAUAGAUAUGCAUCAAAAUAAUGUUUGAAAAAAGCGGUUGCUUGAGUCACGUUUCCAGAGUUUAAUCAUGAAUGGCAACCAAUUAAGUCCUACAUGUCGUAAUCAAUCAUCUAGACCUGAAAUAUUCUAAGAACCAUCAAAACUUUUAAAUGUUUCAAGUUUGAAUACAUGUGUCCGAGAAUCUUUUUUAAUGUAUCUGAGUCCAUGUUGCCUGCUGUGUUUCACACAUCAGAUUGAGCUCAUUGUGUUCAGGUUCCCCCAGUUGAAACACUACAUAUAAAAAUAGUCUGCAUUGACAUCAAAGUUUCAGGCACAGACUGCAGUUUCUUUUCCUUUUCACUCCCUUUCCCUUUCUUACGGUUGUUUAUGAAUGAUGUUGAAAAUCAACCCCCUGAUUUACAGGUUAUGGCUCUACAAUGGACGGCUACAUCUCUAACUAUGGUGCUGGAAUGACUAGGUUUCACUGCAGAUGUUACUCUUUUUGCAAAGAUUUUGAUUGGAUCUCAAAAUGUCCAUUCAUGUUAUGUAUUUAAAUAGCCACAGUAUUUGUAUAACUAGAAUGAUUUUAAGUUAUGGGAAUAUACUCUUAUACUUAAUGGCAUUUAGUUCAUGAACAUGUGGUUAAUUCCAGAAGAUGCACUCUUGUGGUUAAUUUCAAUGAAAAAGCAGGUGUUGCGCUUCAUCCA